UCUCGGUGAUGAACAACAAUGAUGACGAGUCCGAUCCAUUCAUAUAUAAAAUCGUGACGACAAAACGAGGCAUUUGUCUGAGAGAA
rfam:Prunus persica cultivar Lovell chromosome G7, whole genome shotgun sequence.